GAUGAAGAACGCAGCGAAAUGCGAUACGUAAUGUGAAUUUCAGAAUUCAGUGAAUCAUCGAGUCUUUGAACGCACAUUGCGCCCCCUGGUAUUCCGGGGGGCAUGCCUGUCCGAGCGUCAUUGCUGCCCUCAAGCACGGCUUGUGUGUUGGGCCUCCGUCCUCCUCCCGGGGGACGGGCCCGAAAGGCAGCGGCGGCACCGCGUCCGGUCCUCGAGCGUAUGGGGCUUCGUCACCCGCUCUUGUAGGCCCGGCCGGCGCUUGCCGACACAUCAAUCUUUUUUCCAGGUUGACCUCGGAUCAGGUAGGGAUAUCCGCUGAACUUAAGCAUAUCAAUAAGCGGAGGA
rnacentral:misc_RNA from 1 species